rnacentral:rRNA from 1 species
GACGAAGGGGGCUAGCGUUGUUCGGAAUUACUGGGCGUAAAGCGUGCGCAGGCGGCGCGUUAAGACAGGUGUGAAAGCCCCGAGCUUAACUUGGGAAUUGCGCUUGUGACUGGCGUGCUGGAGUGUGGCAGAGGGAGGUGGAAUUCCACGUGUAGCAGUGAAAUGCGUAGAGAUGUGGAGGAACACCGAUGGCGAAGGCAGCCUCCUGGGCCAGCACUGACGCUCAUGCACGAAAGCGUGGGGAGCAAACAGG